rnacentral:sRNA from 1 species
GCUGGGUGUGGUGGUGUGCACCUGUAAUCUCAGCCUAGGAGGCUGAGGCAAAAGGAUUGCAAGUUCAAAGCCAGCUUCAGCAACUUAGAAAGGCCUAAACAACUUAGCAAGACUUGGUCUCUA